AUUUUAAGGAGUGCAUUGAUCUAUAAGUCAAGAAAAUUAUAGAACAGAAGUAGUUCUGUUAUCAUGCGAGUGUUUCUGUGCAGGCCUGGCCAGCUCUGUAUGCUAAGCCCUUUACUAUUAUCUGUGGUGGCAAAUCCCAUUGCUUCAGAAUUUGGGUUACCACAUGCCUUUGCAACGAAGGCUUUCAUAAACAGAGGUGGAUAAACGAUUAUAAGAUGACGUAGCCGGUAAUUACAAAGGGGUAAUAGCUAACGUUUAAGAGGACAUUAUUAUAAUUGACGAAAAGCAUUUCUUGUGUUUUAGUUUAUUUCCACUCUGCCUUUGAUGUGAGCUGGCCUUAGGGAUUCCUUGAGGAUUGACAGACAGGAUGGGAAUUAAUAAAAUAUGUACAACAAAAUUGUUUAAACAAUUGAAACCCUUCGAUUAAAAAUACGUUUAAAGCUUUUCAGAAA